UGGGGAAUAUUGCACAAUGGGCGCAAGCCUGAUGCAGCCAUGCCGCGUGUGUGAAGAAGGCCUUCGGGUUGUAAAGCACUUUCAGCGGGGAGGAAGGCGAUAAGGUUAAUAACCUUGUCGAUUGACGUUACCCGCAGAAGAAGCACCGGCUAACUCCGUGCCAGCAGCCGCGAUAAUACGGAGGGUGCAAGCGUUAAUCGGAAUUACUGGGCGUAAAGCGCACGCAGGCGGUUGAUUGAGUCAGAUGUGAAAUCCCCGGGCUUAACCCGGGAAUUGCAUCUGAUACUGGUCAGCUAGAGUCUUGUAGAGGGGGGUAGAAUUCCAUGUGUAGCGGUGAAAUGCGUAGAGAUGUGGAGGAAUACCGGUGGCGAAGGCGGCCCCCUGGACGAAGACUGACGCUCAGGUGCGAAAGCGUGGGGAGCAAACAGG
rnacentral:rRNA from 1 species